ACUGUUAGACUUGAGAAUGGACGAGGUAGGCGGAAUUCGUAGUGUAGCGGUGAAAUGCAUAGAUAUUACGAAGAACUCCAAUAGUGUAGACUGCUUACCAGACCAUAUCUGACACUAAGGCACGAAAGUGUGGGUAUCAAACAGGAUUAGAUACCCUGGUAGUCCACACAGUAAACGAUGAAUACUAACUGUUUGCGAUAUACAGCAAGUGGUCGAGCGAAAGCGUUAAGUAUUCCACCUGGGAAGUAUGCCGGCAACGGUGAAACUCAAAGGAAUUGACGGGGGCCCGCACAAGCGGAGGAACAUGUGGUUUAAUUCGAUAAUACGCGAGGAACCUUACCCGGGCUCGAACGAUAUUUGAAUACAUCCGAAAAGAUGUAGCUAGCAAUAGCAAAUACCGAGGUGCUGCAUGGUUGUCGUCAGCUCGUGCCGUGAGGUGUCGACUUAAGUGUCAUAACGAGCGCAACCCUUACCGAUAGUUACCAUCAGAUAAUGCUGGGGACUCUAUUGGGACUGCCACCGUAAGGUGUGAGGAAGGAGAGGAUGACGUCAAAUCAGCACGGCCCUUAUGUCCGGGGCGACACACGUGUUACAAUGGGAGAAACAAAGGGUCGCUACCUGGCAACAGGAUGCUAAUCUCGAAAAUCUCUCUCAGUUCGGAUUGGAGUCUGCAACUCGACUCCAUGAAGCUGGAUUCGCUAGUAAUCGCACAUCAGCCAUGGUGCGGUGAAUACGUUCCCGGGCCUUGUACACACCGCCCGUCAAGCCAUGGAAGCUGGAAGUACCUGAAGUAUGUAACUGAAAAGAGCGUCCU
rnacentral:rRNA from 1 species